rnacentral:rRNA from 1 species
GACGAACGCUGGCGGCGUGCCUAAUACAUGCAAGUCGAACGAGAGCGACCGGUGCUUGCACUGGUCAAUCUAGUGGCGAACGGGUGAGUAACACGUGGGUAACCUGCCCAUCAGAGGGGGAUAACAUCCGGAAACGGAUGCUAAAACCGCAUAGGUCUUCGAGCCGCAUGGCUUGAAGAGGAAAAGAGGCGCAAGCUUCUGCUGAUGGAUGGACCCGCGGUGCAUUAGCUAGUUGGUGAGGUAACGGCUCACCAAGGCCGUGAUGCAUAGCCGACCUGAGAGGGGGAUCGGCCACAUGGGGACUGGGACGCGCCCCAAACCCCGAGGGGGGGCAGGAGUGGGGAAUUUGCCGAAAUGGACGGAAGUCGGAGGGAGCAACGCCGCGGGAGUGAAGAAGGUUGUGGGAGUGGAAACCUCUGUUGUUGGAAAAAAACAAGUGCUAGGGUAACUGUUGGCCCUUUGGCGGUAUCAAACUAGAAAGCCCCGGCAAACUCCG